UACAGAGGGGGCAAGCGUUGUUCGGAAUUACUGGGCGUAAAGGGCGCGUAGGCGGCCUUCUAAGUCGAACGUGAAAUCCCCGGGCUCAACCCGGGAACUGCGUCCGAUACUGGAAGGCUUGAAUCCGGGAGAGGGAUGCGGAAUUCCGAGUGUAGAGGUGAAAUUCGUAGAUAUUCGGAAGAACACCAGUGGCGAAGGCGACUCGCUGGACAGACAUUGACGCUGAGGUGCGAAAGCGUGGGGAGCAAACAGG
rnacentral:rRNA from 1 species